CUACGGGGGGCAGCAGUCGAGAAUCUUCCGCAAUGGACGAAAGUCUGACGGAGCGACGCCGCGUGCGGGAUGAAGGCCUUCGGGUUGUAAACCGCUGUCAGUGGGGAGGAAAUGCAUCAGGGUUCUCCCUGGUGUUUGACCGAUCCGCAGAGGAAGCGCAGGCUAAGUUCGUGCCAGCAGCCGCGGUAACACGAACUGCGCGAACGUUAUUCGGAAUCACUGGGCUUAAAGAGUUCGUAGGCGGCCUUUCAAGUCGGGUGUGAAAUCCCUCGGCUCAACCGGGGAAUUGCGCCUGAUACUGUUGGGCUUGAGGGGGAUAGGGGUGAGCGGAACUGAUGGUGGAGCGGUGAAAUGCGUUGAUAUCAUCAGGAACGCCGGUGGCGAAGGCGGCUCACUGGAUCUCUUCUGACGCUGAGGAACGAAAGCUAGGGGAGCGAACGGGAUUAGAUACCCUCGUAGUC
rnacentral:rRNA from 1 species